CAGUAGCCACGGGAAUACGUAGGGUGCGAGCGUUAAUCGGAAUUACUGGGCGUAAAGCGUGCGCAGGCGGUUCGUUAAGACAGAUGUGAAAUCCCCGGGCUUAACCUGGGAACUGCAUUUGUGACUGGCGAGCUAGAGUAUGGCAGAGGGGGGUAGAAUUCCACGUGUAGCAGUGAAAUGCGUAGAUAUCGGAAGGGACACCUGUGGCGAAAGCGGCUCACUGGACCAUUUCUGACGCUGAUGCACGAAAGCUAGGGGAGCAAACAGGAUUAGAUACCCCAGUAGUCCCUGUCUCUUAUAC
rnacentral:rRNA from 1 species